rnacentral:rRNA from 1 species
GACGAACGCUGGCGGCGUGCCUAAUACAUGCAAGUAGGACGCAGUUGCGAACGGGUGAGUAACGCGUAGGUAACUGCCUAUUAGAGGGGGAUAACUAUUGGCAACGAUAGCUAAUACCGCAUACUAGUAGAUGGACCUGCGUUGUAUUAGCUAGUAGGUAGGGUAAUGGCCUACCUAGGCAACGAUAAAUAGCCGACCUGAGAAGGGGAUCGGCCACACUGGGAGUGAGACACGGCCCAGACUCAUACGGUAGGCAGCAGUAGGGAAUCUUCGGCAAUGGGGGGAACCUGGACCGAGCACCGCCGCUGGAGUGAAGAAGGUUUUCGGAUCGUAAGGCUCUGUUGUUAAGGAAGCGGUACUUAACCAGAAAGGGACGGCUAACUACGUGCCAGCAGCCGCGGUAAUUC